CCGUUGGUUGUGCGCGUCCAAGCAGUGAGGCGUGGAAUGAGGCAAAUCCCAUUCCUGAUACGUUAAGCUGUGAUGGCAAGGGGCAUUGCGCCCCGGAGUCCCUGAUUUCACACUGCCAAGAAAAGCCUCUAGCGAGGCGGGAGGUGCCCGUACCGCAAACCGACACAGGUAGGCGAGAAGAGAAUUCUAAGGUGAGCGAGUGAACUCUCGUUAAGGAACUCGGCAAAAUGACCCCGUAACUUCGGGAGAAGGGGUGCUCUGGUAGGGUGUUAAAGCCCGAGAGAGCCGCAGUGAAUAGGCCCAGGCGACUGUUUAGCAAAAACACAGGUCUCUGCAAAACCGUAAGGUGACGUAUAGGGGCUGACGCCUGCCCGGUGCUGGAAGGUUAAGGGGAGUGCUUAGCGCAAGCGAAGGUGCGAACCGAAGCCCCAGUAAACGGCGGCCGUAACUAUAACGGUCCUAAGGUAGCGAAAUUCCUUGUCGGGUAAGUUCCGACCCGCACGAAAGGCGUAACGAUCUGGGCACUGUCUCAACGAGAGACUCGGUGAAAUUAUAGUACCUGUGAAGAUGCAGGUUACCCGCGACAGGACGGAAAGACCCCG
rnacentral:rRNA from 1 species